rnacentral:rRNA from 1 species
GACGAACGCUGGCGGCAGGCCUAACACAUGCAAGUCGAGCGAACCCUUCGGGGUUAGCGGCGGACGGGUUAGUGACGCGUGGGAAUAUACCCUUUGGUACGGAAUAGCCUCGGGAAACUGAGAGUAAUACCGUAUGUGCCCUUCGGGGAAAGAUUAUCGCCAAAGGAUUAGCCCGCGUUGGAUUAGAUAGUUGGUGGGGUAAGUGGCCUACCAAGUCUACGAUCCAUAGCUGGUUUGAGAGGAUGAUCAGCAACACUGGGACUGAGACACGGCCCAGACUCCUACGGGAGGCAGCAGUGGGGAAUCUUAGACAAUGGGCGCAAGCCUGAUCUAGCCAUGCCGCGUGGACGAUGAAGGCCUUAGGGUUGUAAAGUCCUUUCAGAUGGGAAGAUAAUGACGGUACCAUCAGAAGAAGCCCCGGCUAACUCCGUGCCAGCAGCCGCGGU